rnacentral:SRP_RNA from 1 species
CUGUGCUAGCCGGGGAGGCAGCGGUGCCCUGUACCUGCAAUCCGCUAUAGCAGGGGUGAACUCCUGUCUGAGGCAUACUGCUGUAAGGUCAGCUUUAUUCAGGAAGCGUUGAUAAUUGGGUCCUGUGCAAUAGAAAUUUGUGAACGCGUCAGGUCCGGAAGGAAGCAGCGAUAAGCAGAUACUUCUAUGUGCCGCAGAUUUGCCUGAUUUGAGCAGACUGUAUAAAAAGCGCUUGGAACAGUUUUGUCAAGGCCAGGUGCACAG